rnacentral:rRNA from 1 species
GAUGAACGCUGGCGGCGUGCCUAAUACAUGCCAGUCGAGCGAACAGACGAGGAGCUUGCUCCUCUGACGUUAGCGGCGGACGGGUGAGUAACACGUGGAUAACCUACCUAUAAGACUGGGAUAACUUCGGGAAACCGGAGCUAAUACCGGAUAAUAUAUUGAACCGCAUGGUUCAAUAGUGAAAGACGGUUUUGCUGUCACUUAUAGAUGGAUCCGCGCCGCAUUAGCUAGUUGGUAAGGUAACGGCUUACCAAGGCAACGAUGCGUAGCCGACCUGAGAGGGGGAUCAGCCACACUGGAACUGAGACACGGUCCAGACUCCUACGGGAGGCAGCAGUAGGGAAUCUUCCGCAAUGGGCGAAAGCCUGACGGAGCAACGCCGCGUGAGUGAUGAAGGUCUUCGGAUCGUAAAACUCUGUUAUUAGGGAAGAACAAAUGUGUAAGUAACUAUGCACGUCUUGACGGUACCUAAUCAGAAAGCCACGGCUAACUACGUG